AGUCCGCUGGUCCCGAGCACGAGCUGUGAGGGGAUUCACUUGUGUGCGGAACUCCUCGGAACCAUGGCGUCCCUUUCCCUUGCACCUGUUAACAUCUUUAAGGCAGGAGCUGAUGAAGAGAGAGCAGAGACAGCUCGUCUGACUUCUUUUAUUGGUGCCAUCGCCAUUGGAGACUUGGUAAAGAGCACCUUGGGACCCAAAGGCAUGGUAAGAAAAAUAGAAAAGUUUUAUAUUUUAAUAUUGUUUUAGAGCACUUGGUGGAAAUAUAAUAACAGGCGUAUUAAAAUGCUUUUUAAUCUUUAAAACGUUUAAUUAUAAAAGACAAGUAUGUUCUCCUUAGUAAAAAUCAGAGUCCCCAGAAUCACCAUCCCCAAUCCCAUGCCCCUCCCCAAUGACAAGUACUGUUAUCAUUUGCACGUACAUCUUCUAAUAUUCUGUUUAUGUAGAAGUAUGUGUACUUCAUUAUGUAUUUUAUACUCAUGUAACAUACUGUUUUAUAAAACAGAUACUAUUUAUCAAUACUUUUUUGUAGCUUG
rnacentral:sRNA from 1 species